GGAGGGAUGGCCGAGUGGUCGAAGGCGUCUGAUUCGAAAUCAGAUUUAUCGUUUACGCGGUAACGUGGGUUCGAAUCCCACUCCCUCCU
rnacentral:tRNA from 1 species